rnacentral:RNase_P_RNA from 1 species
GCAGGCGAGGUGAUCGCAAUCGGCGUCCGCGCCGGUUGAGGAAAGUCCGGGCUCCCCAAUGGCCAGGCUUGCUGGGUAACGCCCAGUGCGGGUGACCGUGAGGAGAGUGCCACAGAAACACACCGCCGAUGGCCGGUUCGCCGGCACAGGCAAGGGUGCAAAGGUGCGGUAAGAGCGCACCAGCAGCAUCGAGAGGUGCUGGCUCGGUAAACCCCGGCUGGGAGCAAGGCCCAGGGACAACGGUUGGCCAUGACACCCGUCCCGACACAAGCGCGCCGCUCGAGGCCACCGGUAACGGUGGUCCCAGACAGAUGAUCACCCCCGCGCAAGCGGAGAACAGAACCCGGCUUACGUCCUGCUU